UACAUGCUUCCUUGUUGCAUUCUUGAAUUUUUUGAAUGUCAAUCCACAAGACUUGAAUCAUCCCGUUUAAUACGUCCCUGAAUUUCUUUAAUCUCGCUCUUGUAAUCGGACCAUUAGGUAGCUGAAUUAGAUCUAUGUUCUUGUAUCUUUCCUUAUUGGCAUCACUUAGCUUUUUCUUGUGAGGAAAAAUGCUUCCAAGGGAUUCUGGUUAUCCGAAUCCCAUCGUUUU
rnacentral:lncRNA from 1 species